UGAUUUUUAUUUCUUCAUUUUUCUUCAAAUCUUUCUGACGCUGAUAAUAUGCCCUUUGACGUACAUUAUGAUUUUUUUCUCUUUUUAUUCUUUUUACCUCUUUACGCUUUUCUUCUCUAUAAAAUGAAAAUAUCUAGGUAUAAAUAGUGUAAUGACACAGCAAAACAAAAUUACUCAUUUAUAAAAAUAUAACAAUAUUAAGAAGUGAUUAUCGAAUUUCGCGCGAUGUACAUACAUUUAUAUAUACUUUCUUUGCGCGGCAUUCAUGUGCAUUAUCUAUACACCAAAAACAAAGGUACUGAAUAGUACAUGUGCUUGGUUUGAUGGUUUCUGUUAUAUACAUAAUGAAGAAUAAAUUUAUUUAUAAAUAUAUAUAUGUAUAUACAUAUUAGAAUCUAAAUUGAGAAUUUAAACUAUACGCGUGUGUAUGUUUGUGUGUAUAAAAGAGGGCUACCUUUAAUAUCGCUCAUUUUAAUAUCAAAAAUUUAGGUUAUCUUUAUAAUACUGCAUUUGUGAUAAUAAUAAAAUGUAUGUAUAUAGAGUACUCACUCAUUUUCUUCCACUAUUUCUUCGUUAAUAAUAAAUGCACUUUGUUCAUUCAUAUUCAAUAUUCAAAAAAACACUUUAUACACAAAUUUUAUUCCAGAAAAUGUAAAGUCAUCUACCGUGGUAAAGUAUAGAGAAGGUGCAGGUUCAAUGGCGGACAUUUGUUACGAAGCAUCUCGACAAGAGAGAAUUUAUAGCUGCAUUGCCGUGCAUAUUACUUGUGGAGACUCCACAUUGCUCAUAGCAGAAAACGAAAGAGGUUAACAAGGAGAAAAAGAAAUCAUUUGGACCAUUGGUAAAAUUCAAAUCUAUAGCGUGCAGCAACCAAAUAAUGGAAAAAUGUAAAGUCAUCUACCGUGGUAAAGUAUAGAGAAGGUGCGGGUUCAAUGGCGGACAUUUGUUACGAGGCAUCUCGACAAGAGAGAAUUUAUAGCUGCAUUGCCGUGCAUAUUGCUUGUGGAGACUCCACAUUGCUCAUAGCAGAAAACGAAAGAGGUUAACAAGGAGAAAAAGAAAUCAUUUGGACCAUUGGUAAAAUUCAAAUCUAUAGCGUGCAGCAACCAAAUAAUGGAGUAUGUUUUAAAUUAUUAAAGUUAAAUAGUGUAUAUUUCAUUCAAAUAUUUGUUAUAGAUUGUGCAUUUUAUUUUGAGUUUGUUAUUAAAUAAAGAGAAAAAAAAUAUUUCGCUCAUGAGUCAUCCUGCAUCCAGACACUACCGCCUUUGUGGUAUGCAACAUUUUUCGUCACCGCAAUGUGUUUUUUACGCCACACAGCGUCACCUGUGUGUGACGUUUUAAGCGUCAGGCAUACUUCCGUUACGAAAUUUCUGCAUUCGGUCCCCUCGCUCAGAAGCUGCGUAAAAAUC